rnacentral:rRNA from 1 species
CGAGCACGCGCGUGUGGCAUAUCAAUAAGCGGAGGAAAAGAAACUAACAAGGAUUCCCUUAGUAACGGCGAGUGAAGCGGGAAGAGCUCAAAUUUGAAAUCUUCAAGGUUCUACCUUGACGAAUUGUAGUUUAUAGAAGUGUUUUCUGUUAGUAGAGUGGCAAAAGUUCUUUGGAAUAGGACAUCAUAGAGGGUGAGAAUCCCGUAUUUGGUCAUUCUUUCUAGCUUUGUGAUACACUUUCAACGAGUCGGAUUGUUUGGGAAUGCAGUCCAAAAUGGGUGGUAAAUUUCAUCUAAAGCUAAAUAUUGGCGAGAGACCGAUAGCGAACAAGUACCGUGAGGGAAAGAUGAAAAGAACUUUGAAAAGAGAGUUAAACAGUACGUGAAAUUGUCAAAAGGGAAGCGUUUGACACCAGUGUUGUUUUUCCGAAAAUCAAUUACGAAUGUUUUAUUCUUGAGAAGUUAUGGACUUCAUCGGCUUGCUUCUCUCUUUAUGAAACUUUCUUAAUGCACUUUUCGGUUAACAAGUCAACAUCAAUUUCUUUUGUUGUAAAAGGGUAUGAGGAAGGUGGCUUUCUUUUCGGAGAAAGUGUUUAUAGCCUUGUACCUCUGCAAUCGGAGAGAUUGAGGUCUGCAGCGUAGAUCCUUCGGGGUUAGAUACAUUUGUGCUAAGUUAUAGCUUUUCAUAGACAACUUGUUGACUAUGUUUAGUCUUGUAGCUUACUCGCUUAUGCUAUUUUACCUACGCUUAGGAUGUUGAUUAGCGACAUACGCAC